UCCGUAGGUGAACCUGCGGAAGGAUCAUUAAAAGAUAUGGCAUAUUCCAUGUGGAUAUACCCAAUCAACCCAUUCUGAGUACCUUACCUGCUGCUUUCACACAGCGUCUGCGCUCUUUUGUGUGGACAUCCAAACCGGCAUUAGCUUGUUGGCCUUGGACAUGUGUGAAAGGUAUACAUCAAACUCUUGCAUUACCAUGUAUUCUGUCUGAUUAUGUUUAAUACAAAAAAUAUUAAAACUUUCAACAACGGAUCUCUUGGUUCUCGCAUCGAUGAAGAACGCAGCGAAAUGCGAUAAGUAGUGUGAAUUGCAGAAUUCAGUGAAUCAUCGAAUCUUUGAACGCACAUUGCGCCUCCUGGUAUUCCGGGAGGCAUGCCUGUUCGAGCGUCAUUAAAAACCACUCAAGCUCUUUUGCUUGGUAUUGGGAGAUGAGUAUACUUUUCCUAGUUUACUCACUCUCGAAAUUCAAAGGCGUAGAGCCCCACAUACCACAGCGUAGUAAGUUUUCUUUCGCUUGGAGUGUGAGGUGAUAUUGCCACAAACCCCCAAUUAUUUUCUAGGUUGACCUCGGAUCAGGUAGGGAUACCCGCUGAACUUAAGCAUAUCAAUAAGCGGAGGA
rnacentral:rRNA from 1 species